rnacentral:rRNA from 1 species
GACGAACGCUGGCGGCGUGCUUAACACAUGCAAGUCGAACGGAAAGGCCCUGCUUUUGUGGGGUGCUCGAGUGGCGAACGGGUGAGUAACACGUGAGUAACCUGCCCUUGACUUUGGGAUAACUUCAGGAAACUGGGGCUAAUACCGGAUAGGAGCUCCUGCUGCAUGGUGGGGGUUGGAAAGUUUCGGCGGUUGGGGAUGGACUCGCGGCUUAUCAGCUUGUUGGUGGGGUAGUGGCUUACCAAGGCUUUGACGGGUAGCCGGCCUGAGAGGGUGACCGGCGACAUUGGGACUGAGGUACGGCCCAGACUCCUACGGGAGGCAGCAGUGGGGAAUAUUGCACAAUGGGCGGAAGCCUGAUGCAGCAACGCCGCGUGCGGGAUGACGGCCUUCGGGUUGUAAACCGCUUUCGCCUGUGACGAAGCGUGAGUGACGGUAAUGGGUAAAGAAGCACCGGCUAACUACGUG